UCUCACGUAAAACGCCAUGUUCAACCAAGCUGAAAAUUCAUUUACUAUGCUCAGAUUAUUAUCUGCCUAAUGAAAUACGGUAACAAGUUAGAUGAAAACUGUGCUUUCCGCAUUUGCCUUCGAAAAUAAUAAGUAAGUAAGUGAAAUUAGUCGCUAAAGACAAAUGUUUAAUGGAUACUAAUUUUGCCAUCAACAAGUGUAAACGUUAAUGCUAUAGGAGAUAUAAGGAUUCAAGAUGAAGAACCUUGCAAGACGAGCCAUUGUAAAUAAGGACUGUCAACAGCAGCCAUCAAAUAGUGGUAAUUACGCUUAAUUACUCUACUAUAACGCAUCCUCCGAGACGAGAUAAAACGAUAUAUUUGGGGCAAUGCGAGGAACAAGAAAAUCAGCUUUGCUGCCGAUCGCUUCACUUGUGUCAGCUCAAAAUCAAGCUAUAUUGGCUUGUAAUACUUUGUCAGACAAUAAUAAAUAGGUGUAUCAGGA